GUAUGAAUGGCCACACGAGGGCUUUACUGUCUCUUACUUCCAAUCCGUGAAAUUGACCUUCCCGUGAAGAGGCGGGAAUAUAACAAUAAGACGAGAAGACCCUAUGGAGCUUUAAUUAACCGACCCAAAGAGACCCUGAUAAUUAACCGACAGGAAUAACAUACCUCUACCAUGGGCCGACAAUUUAGGUUGGGGUGACCUCGGAGAAUAAAGCAACCUCCGAGUGAUUUAAAUCUAGACUAACCAGUCGAAAGUAUUACAUCACUUAUUGAUCCAAAAACUUGAUCAACGGAACAAGUUACCCUAGGGAUAACAGCGCAAUCCUAUUUUAGAGUCCAUAUCGACAAUAGGGUUUACGACCUCGAUGUUGGA
rnacentral:rRNA from 1 species